rnacentral:antisense_RNA from 1 species
CUUGAUGCCGCCGAGGCGCAGCGGCCGGUCCGCGGGGCGGUCCGCGCCGUACGUGGCGAGCAGCGCCUGCGCCUC